GAAAUGCGAUACGUAAUGCGAAUUGCAGAAUUCAGUGAAUCAUCAAAUCUUUGAACGCAAAUUGCGCUUUCGGGAUAUGCCUGAAAGCACGCCUCUUUGAGUAUCGAUUAAAUCAAUCUCAGCACUUGUGCUGGACAAUGAGUGAUUUUCUUGAGUUUAUUCUCAAGUCACUUUAAGUAUAUCGGAGCGUCUGUACCGUUUGCUAUGGCAAUUGUGCUACUCUCUCAACUAACAUGGAUAAUCUUCCUACGUUUGGUUGCGCUAGCUUUGUGCUUUUGUUGCAUUCGGAGUCUGAACGUAAAACAUUCAGAUUAGUUGCUCUAUGAAUCUAUACAAACUUUGUAUUUGAAUUAGAUCUCAAAUGAAGCGAGAGGACCCGCUGAACUUAA
rnacentral:misc_RNA from 1 species